rnacentral:rRNA from 1 species
GGGGGGGGGGGGGGGGGGGCGUGGGGGGGGCGGGGCGGGCGGGGGGGCCCGGCGUGGGGGGGGUGCUCGGGGGGCGGGCGGGGGAGUAACACGUGAGUAACCUGCCCUUGCCUUUGGGAUGCCUUCAGGGAACUGGGGCUAAUACCGGAUAGGAGCUCCUGCGGCAUGGUGGGGGUGGGAAAGUUUCGGCGGUUGGGGAUGGACUCGCGGCUUAUCAGCUUGUUGGUGGGGGAGUGGCUUACCCAGGCUUUGACGGGUAGCCGGCCUGAGAGGGUGACCGGCCACAUUGGGACUGAGAUACGGCCCAGACUCCUACGGGAGGCAGCAGUGGGGAAUAUUGCACAAUGGGCGGAAGCCUGAUGCAGCAACGCCGCGUGCGGGAUGACGGUCUUCGGGUUGUAAACCGCUUUCGCCUGUGACGAAGCGUGAGUGACGGUAAUGGGUAAAGAAGCACCGGCUAACUACGUG